CCUACGGGCGGCAGCAGUAGGGAAUAUUGCUCAAUGGGGGAAACCCUGAAGCAGCAACGCCGCGUGGAGGAUGAAGGUUUUCGGAUUGUAAACUCCUUUUGUUAGAGAAGAUAAUGACGGUAUCUAACGAAUAAGCACCGGCUAACUCCGUGCCAGCAGCCGCGGUAAUACGGAGGGUGCAAGCGUUACUCGGAAUCACUGGGCGUAAAGCGCGCGUAGGCGGGAUAGCAAGUCAGAUGUGAAAUCCUAUGGCUUAACCAUAGAACUGCAUUUGAAACUGUUAUUCUAGAGUAUGGGAGAGGUAGGUGGAAUUCUUGGUAUAGGGGUAAAAUCCGUAGAGAUCAAGAGGAAUACUCAUUGCGAAGGCGACCUGCUAGAACAUAACUGACGCUGAUGCGCGAAAGCGUGGGGAGCAAACAGGAUUAGAUACCCCAGUAGUC
rnacentral:rRNA from 1 species